UACGUAGGGUGCAAGCGUUAUCCGGAAUUAUUGGGCGUAAAGAGCUCGUAGGCGGUGUGUCGCGUCGGCCGUGAAAACCUGCAGCUUAACUGUGGGCUUGCGGUCGAUACGGGCAUCACUGGAGUUCGGCAGGGGAGACUGGAAUUCCUGGUGUAGCGGUGAAAUGCGCAGAUAUCAGGAGGAACACCGGUGGCGAAGGCGGGUCUCGUGGGCCGAUGACUGACGCUGAGGAGCGAAAGCGUGGGGAGCAAACGGG
rnacentral:rRNA from 1 species